UACGGAGGGUGCAAGCGUUAUCCGGAUUCACUGGGUUUAAAGGGUGCGUAGGAGGGCAGGGAAGUCAGUGGUGAAAUCUCCGGGCUUAACUCGGAAACUGCCGUUGAUACUCUCUGUCUUGAAUCCCGUGGAGGUGAGCGGAAUAUGUCAUGUAGCGGUGAAAUGCUUAGAUAUGACAUAGAACACCGAUUGCGAAGGCAGCUCGCUACACGAAGAUUGACUCUGAGGCACGAAAGCGUGGGGAUCAAACAGGA
rnacentral:rRNA from 1 species